rnacentral:rRNA from 1 species
GAUGAACGCUGGCGGCGUGCUUAGCACAUGCAAGUCGUACGGUAAGGCCCUUUCGGGGGUACACGAGUGGCGAACGGGUGAGUAACACGUGAGUAACCUGCCCACAACUUUGGGAUAACGCUAGGAAACUGGUGCUAAUACUGGAUAUGUGCUCCUGCUGCAUGGUGGGGGUUGGAAAGCUCCGGCGGUUGUGGAUGGACUCGCGGCCUAUCAGCUUGUUGGUGGGGUAGUGGCCUACCAAGGCGGCGACGGGUAGCCGGCCUGAGAGGGUGACCGGCCACAUUGGGACUGAGAUACGGCCCAGACUCCUACGGGAGGCAGCAGUGGGGAAUAUUGCACAAUGGGCGCAAGCCUGAUGCAGCAACGCCGCGUGCGGGAUGACGGCCUUCGGGUUGUAAACCGCUUUCAGCAGGGACGAAGCUUUUUGUGACGGUACCUGCAGAAGAAGCACCGGCUAACUACGU